rnacentral:lncRNA from 1 species
CGCCCUUUUUCCUCCCCUCACGUUUCCCGCCCUUUUCUCCGCCCUCACGCUUCCCGCCCUUUUUUAUCGGCAUUUUUUGCCCUCUUUUGCCCACAUUUCGUGCAUUUUUCCUCUCAUUUUCUGCCUUUUUUACCCACAUUUUCCGCCCUUUUUAAUUCGCGUUUUCUUCCCCUUUUUUAAUCCCAUUUUCUGCCCUUUUUUACCCAUUUUUUUUGCCUAUUUUCGCUCGUUUUUUGUUGUUUCUCAGCCCCAUUUUUGGUCAACUUUUGCUCAUUUUUUAUGCGUUUUUCAGCCUCAUUUUUGGGCGACUUUCCCUCAUUUUUCCCCCAUUUUUCCCCCCCCAUUUUCCAUAUUUUUUCCCCAUUUUUUUGCCUUUUUUUGCCCCAUUUUUUUCCCAUGGAGACCCCAAAUUCCGAUUCCCCCCUGGCAGAGCCUUUAUUGGGGAUUUUGGGGUCCCUCACCCCGAUUUUGAGGUCCUUCACCCCGAUUUUGGGGUCACUGCUCGCCUUUAUUGGGGUUUUUGGGGUCCCUCACCCCGAUUUUGGGGUCCCUCACCCCGAUUUUGGGGUCCCUCAGCCCGGUUUUGGGGUCCCUCAGCCCGGUUUUGGGGUCACUGCUCGCCCUGCCACCAGUGGUAGAGCUGAUCCGUCAGGAUCCCGGUGUAGGUGACCACGGCCGUGGCUCCCUGCUCGUACGCCGUGCUGGGGGGAAAAACACAGAAUUUGGGAAAAAAUACAAAAUUCGGGCAGAAAAACCAGAAAUUGGGGGUGAAAACCACAAAAUUCUGGGGGAAAACCCAAAAUUUGGGGGGGAAAACUCAAAAAUUGGGGGGAAAAACCCAAAAAUUGGGGGUGAAAACCCAAAAAUUGGGAGAGAAAACCAAAAUUUUGGAGGAAAACCCACAAAAUUUGGGGAAAAAAACCAAAAAUUUGGGGAAAAAAACCAAAAAUUGGGGAGGAAACCCAAAAAUUGUGGGGGGAAAACCUUAAAAUUGGAGGGGAAAACCCAAAAUUUGGGGUAAAACCCCAAAAUUUGGGGAAAGAAAACCAAAAAUUGGGGGGAAAACCCAAAAUUUCUGGGGGGAAAACUUUAAAAUUGGGGGAGAAAACCUCAAAAUUUGGGUAAAAACCCCAAAAAUUUGGGUUAAAAACCAAAAUUGGGGUAAAAAACCCCAAAAUUUGGGGUAAAAAACCCAAAAUUGGGGUCCCCAAAGCAAUUUUUGGGUAGAAAAUCCCAAUUUUUGAGUGGGUCCCGGGGGAUUUUUGGGGUUCCCCAAUUUUUGGGGGGGGUCCCAGGGGAUUUUUGGGGUUCCCGGAUUUUUUGAGGUUCCCGGAUUUUUUGGGGGGUUCCCAGGGGAUUUUUGGGUUCCCGGUUUUUUUGAGGUUCCCGGAUUUUGGGGGGGGUCCCAGGGGAUUUUUGGGGUUCCCGAAUUUUUGGGGUUCCC